GAGUGUUUUGUUGAUAUUGAAUGAGUUAUAGUUGAAUGGUUAUACCUAGAUACACACUUGUUUCUUUUUUUUUUUUUUUUCCUUUUUCGUGUUGUUGACAACAAUUUGUAUAGGGUUGAUUUUAAUUAAAUGAAAACGAGAACUUUACUAAAAGAAAAUACAUUCCCUACUUUAUAUUAUGCAUGCAAUAAAUAUUUAAUUUCCUAAAAUAAAACCUA
rnacentral:lncRNA from 1 species